AUACAUACAAAUGUAUUAAUGUGAAAGCAAAAAGUCUUCUCUUCCCCAUUACUGCAUACCAAAUUUCUUCUCCCUUUAUAUUUCGAUCUCACCACUACUCGUCCUUCCUCCUAUAAGUAUCUCCCCCACUCUAUUCAUUUUUCUGUUUCUCUCUCCCAAAUCGCUACAUUGUAAACCAUAAUAUUAGGUAUUCGCCUCCACCGUCUCCAUGGCCUGCUCAGCCAAUGAGUUGGCCCAGCUACUCGGCCCCAACAUCACCAACUCCGCUGCUGCUGCUGACUUCAUCUGUU
rnacentral:misc_RNA from 1 species